UGCACCCCCGGGGGAGCGGCCCCGCCGGGCGAGGGGCACCCCUCGAGCCCUCGCGGGGGGAGCUCCCCAAAAAUCCCCCCAAAAAGCGGGGCCACGUGCGGGGCAGCACCCGCGGAGCUUCGGCUCCCCCCCAGGCCGGCUGCGGGGGGGACGCGGCGCCCCCCAGCCCCGCUGGCCCCGGGGCGGGAGGAAGAGGAGGCCGGGGCCGCCCGGCUGCCAUUGGCCGGGGAGCCGCGGCUGCAGCUGCAGGACACAAUUAAUUAUGCUAAUGGCGUGGGGAGCGGAUGUACUUUUUUUUUUUUUUUUUUUUUUUUUUUUCCCCCCUCUUUAUUCCUCUCUCUCUUUUUUUUGGCUGGUCGGUGCGGGAGGGAGCCGCCCUGGGCUGGGAUCACAUGAUAUUGUCUUCGCGCCACUUUCGUAAAACCCUUUUUAUUCCAGGGCUCUGCUCGGGCUAAAAGGUACCGUUGGCUCCUGUGCUUCAGUCAAGACACUUCUGCGAUGCCUCGCCUGCGCGGAAACAAGAAGAGCUUUUAAGUGGAAGAGUUUCUAUCUGUUGAUGGGCCUUGAGUUGUGCAAAAGUGCUUACAGUGCAGGUAGAGUUUAGGAUCUACUGCAGUAUAAGCACUUCUGGCAUUACUGUGGCGAUUCAGUGACGGUAGCAGGGCACAGACAUAACCGGGACUGUUGUUUUGCUGCGUUACAAAUGGUUCUUGUGUUAAGGUGCAUCUAGUGCAGUUAGUGAAGUAGCGUAGAAUCUACUGCCCUAAAUGCUCCUUCUGGCACAAGCUGCUGCCUGCACGUCCAAAACCACGCGUCCAUCUGGCUUAGCUCAGCAACUACGAUUUUAGGUAAAGCAUUUGUUCAUUGAAGGCAAUUGCUCAGGAAGUAGUUUUGUCCUAGCAGUAUCAAAGUGCUCAUAGUGCAGGUAGCUUUGAAUCGGACCUACUGUAAUGUGGGCACUUACAGUACUGCUAGAUAAAGUGCAUCCUAGCUAGUGGCAGUUUCUGGAGAAGAUGGUACUGAUUACAGUCAGUUUUGCAGGUUUGCAUCCCAGCUUACUAAAAUUGCUGUGCAAAUCCAUGCAAAACUGACUGUGGUGGUGGUGAAUCUGUGGUGAAUAAUGGGUUUUGAAGCUUUCUGUUUUUGCCGUGAAGAUCUGAAGAUGCCUUGCACUGGUUUCUCCAUGGGUGGGGAUUUGUUGCAUUACUUGUAGCUAUGUGUAGAGUAUUGCACUUGUCCCGGCCUGUGGAGGAAAGGAGGACUUGUCUUCAGGCUGCGCUGCUUAACGUUUGCCAGUUUGGUAAGCUUUGUUUUGCUGUUGUCGGGUGGAUCACGAUGCAAUUUUGAUUAGUUUAGUAGGAGAAAAAUUGCACGGUAUCCAUCUGUAAACCGCAAGACCUUCAUCGCUGACAACAUAGCUUUUGUCAGUAAUCAAUUCUCACAGCAGUCUGUAGUAAUGUGCAUAAUGGCUGGCUGGUGACUCCGCAGCUUAAAGGGAUGGGAAGAAGGAAAACUUCUCCAGACACUAAGGUUUGUCUAUCAUUUGAAAAGGCCGGGGGGGGGGGAAUCCUGGGGCAGUUGCAGUGGCCCAGGGAAGGGUGUUUGGGGAGUGUUUUUGUAAGAACGUGUAAAUUACUGUGGUGUACUUAACAAUAAAGAGAUUUUAAAAUAAAACUUGUAUAAUAA